rnacentral:rRNA from 1 species
UAGGGAAUCUUCCGCAAUGGACGCAAGUCUGACGGAGCAACGCCGCGUGAGUGAAGAAGGAUUUCGGUUCGUAAAACUCUUUUGUUAGAGAAGAACAGCGCAUAGAGUAACUGUUAUGCGUUUGACGGUAUCUAACCAGAAAGCCACGGCUAAUUACGUGCCAGCAGCCGCGUUAAUACGUAGGUGGAAAGCGUUGUCCGGAUUCAUUGGGCGUAAAGCGAGCGCAGGCGGUCAAUUAAGUCUGAUGUGAAAGCCCCCGGCUCAACCGGGGAGGGUCAUUGGAAACUGGUUGACUUGAGUGCAGAAGAGGAGAGUGGAAUUCCAUGUGUAGCGGUGAAAUGCGUAGAUAUAUGGAGGAACACCAGUGGCGAAGGCGACUCUCUGGUCUGUAACUGACGCUGAGGCUCGAAAGCGUGGGUAGCAAACAGG